GGGGGUGUAGCUCAGUGGUAGAGCGUUUGACUGCAGAUCAAGAGGUCCUUGGUUCAAAUCCAAGCGCCCCCU
rnacentral:tRNA from 1 species